rnacentral:rRNA from 1 species
GACGGAGGGUGCAAGCGUUAUUCGGAAUCAUUGGGCGUAAAGAGCGUGUAGGCGGCCGGUUAAGUCAGGUGUGAAAGCCCGGGGCUCAACCUCGGAAGUGCACUUGAAACUGGUCGGCUUGAGUUCGGGAGAGGGAAGCGGGAUUCCUGGUGUAGAGGUGAAAUUCGUAGAUAUCAGGAGGAACACCGGUGGCGAAGGCGGCUUCCUGGAACGAAACUGACGCUGAGACGCGAAAGCGUGGGGAGCAAACAGG